UUGCGUGAAAAAGUUUGUGAACCCGAAGGAUUAAUGUAAACCAGGUCAAGAGGUAAUUGAUGAGAUGACUGAUUGCAAAUUCGGUCUGAGUGUGAAGUGUACUGGCCAUAUUGAUGCUAUGAUUUCAACAUUUGAAUUGUCCAUGAUGUGUGGUAGUGGCUGUUCUUAUUGGUAUGUACCCAUAAGGAAGCUGUGUUCAAGACACACUUUUGAACUUUUUAAUGAAAGAACUAUCAAAGUAACCUUCCUUGGAAAGUGGACACCUCGUUCGGAUAUUCCUUCUAUUGUUGAG
rnacentral:misc_RNA from 1 species